GCGCGUGUUACCUCCGCAAGUCGACGAUGAUCCGGUGCUUGCACCGGUGAUUAGUGGCGAACGGGUGAGUAACACGUGAGUAACCUGCCCUUGACUCUGGGAUAAGCCUGGGAAACUGGGUCUAAUACCGGAUAUGACCUUCCAUCGCAUGGUGGUUGGUGGAAAGCUUUUGUGGUUUUGGAUGGACUCGCGGCCUAUCAGCUUGUUGGUGAGGUAAUGGCUUACCAAGGCGACGACGGGUAGCCGGCCUGAGAGGGUGACCGGCCACACUGGGACUGAGACACGGCCCAGACUCCUACGGGAGGCAGCAGUGGGGAAUAUUGCACAAUGGGCGCAAGCCUGAUGCAGCGACGCCGCGUGAGGGAUGACGGCCUUCGGGUUGUAAACCUCUUUCAGUAGGGAAGAAGCGAAAGUGACGGUACCUGCAGAAGAAGCGCCGGCUAACUACGUGCCAGCAGCCGCGGUAAUACGUAGGGCGCAAGCGUUAUCCGGAAUUAUUGGGCGUAAAGAGCUCGUAGGCGGUUUGUCGCGUCUGCCGUGAAAGUCCGGGGCUCAACUCCGGAUCUGCGGUGGGUACGGGCAGACUAGAGUGAUGUAGGGGAGACUGGAAUUCCUGGUGUAGCGGUGAAAUGCGCAGAUAUCAGGAGGAACACCGAUGGCGAAAGCAGGUCUCUGGGCAUUAACUGACGCUGAGGAGCGAAAGCAUGGGGAGCGAACAGGAUUAGAUACCCUGGUAGUCCAUGCCGUAAACGUUUGGGCACUAGGUGUGGGGGACAUUCCACGUUUUCCGCGCCGUAGCUUACCCAUAAGUGCCCCNCCUGGGGGUACGGCCCCAGGUUA
rnacentral:rRNA from 1 species